GACGAACGCUGGCGGCGUGCUUAACACAUGCAAGUCGAACGGAAAGGCCCUGCUUUUGUGGGGUGCUCGAGUGGCGAACGGGUGGGUAACACGUGAGUAACCUGCCCUUGACUUUGGGAUAACUUCAGGAAACUGGGGCUAAUACCGGAUAGGAGCUCCUGCUGCAUGGUGGGGGUUGGAAAGUUUCGGCGGCUGGGGAUGGACUCGCGGCUUAUCAGCUUGUUGGUGGGGUAGUGGCUUACCAAGGCUUUGACGGGUAGCCGGCCUGAGAGGGUGACCGGCCACAUUGGGACUGAGAUACGGCCCAGACUCCUACGGGAGGCAGCAGUGGGGAAUAUUGCACAAUGGGCGGAAGCCUGAUGCAGCAACGCCGCGUGCGGGAUGACGGCCUUCGGGUUGUAAACCGCUUUCGCCUGUGACGAAGCGUGAGUGACGGUAAUGGGGAAAGAAGCACCGGCUAACUACGU
rnacentral:rRNA from 1 species